CUGCAAGUCGAACGCGUCUUGGGGGCAACUCCAAGAUGAGUGGCGAACGGGUGAGUAACACGUGGGUAAUCUCCCCCCGAGUGAGGAAUAAGCCCGCGAAAGCGGGUCUAAUACUGCAUAACACCCCGGGGCAUAAGCUUCCGGGGUCAAAGCCGUAAGGCGCUUGGGGAUGAGCCUGCGUCCUAUUAGCUAGUUGGUAGGGUAACGGCCUACCAAGGUUAUGAUGGGUAGCCGGCCUGAGAGGGUGUUCGGCCACACUGGGACUGAGACACGGCCCAGACUCCUACGGGAGGCAGCAGUGAGGAAUCUUGCGCAAUGGGCGAAAGCCUGACGCAGCGACGCCGCGUGGAGGAAGACGGCCUUCGGGUUGUAAACUCCUGUCAGAGGUGAAGAAUCCCCGCAAGGGGUUGACG
rnacentral:rRNA from 1 species